CCCUGGCUCCAAGGCUUUCCAUUCAAUGCA
rnacentral:piRNA from 1 species